ACUCCUACGGGAGGCAGCAGUGGGGAAUAUUGCACAAUGGGCGCAAGCCUAAUGCAGCCAUGCCGCGUAUAUGAAGAAGGCCUUCGGGUUGUAAAGUACUUUCAGCGGGGAGGAAGGGAGUAAAGUUAAUACCUUUGCUCAUUGACGUUACCCGCAGAAGAAGCACCGGCUAACUCCGUGCCAGCAGCCGCGGUAAUAC
rnacentral:rRNA from 1 species